UCUAUUAUGGCAGAUAAGUGCAAUGGAUUUAAGCUCCAUACAUAAAGUUAUUCACUUUUUUUAGAA
rnacentral:tRNA from 1 species